GACGAACGCUGGCGGCGUGCCUAACACAUGCAAGUCGAACGGAAAGGCCCUGCCUUUGUGGGGAGCGCGAGUGGACAAAGGGUGAGUAACACGUGAGUAACCUGCCCCUCACGUAGGGAAAACUUCAGGAAACAGGCGCUAAUACCGGAAAGGAGCUCCCGCUGCAUGGUGGGGGUGGGAUAGUUUCGGCGGUUGGGGAUGGAAUCGCCGCCCAUAAGCUUGUUGGGGGGGUAGUGGAUUACCAAGGCAUGGAAGGGUAGCCUGCCUGGGAGGGUGGCCGGCCACAUUGGAACUGAGAUACGGCACAGACUCCAACGGGAGGCAACGGUGGGGUAUGUUGUAUUAUGGACGGGAGCCUGAUGCAGCAACGCCGCGUGGGGGAUGACGGCCUUCGGGUUGUAAACCUCUUCCGCCUGUGACGAAGCGUUAAUGACGGUAAUGGGUGAAGAAGCACCGGCUAACUACGUG
rnacentral:rRNA from 1 species